rnacentral:rRNA from 1 species
AUUUAUUUGGAGAGUUUGAUCCUGGCUCAGAACAAACGCUGGCGGCGUGCCUAACACAUGCAAGUCG